rnacentral:rRNA from 1 species
GAUGACGAGCGGCGGACGGGUGAGUAAUGCCUGGGAAUUUGCCCAUUUGUGGGGGAUAACAGUUGGAAACGACUGCUAAUACCGCAUACGCCCUACGGGGGAAAGCAGGGGAACUUCGGUCCUUGCGCUGAUGGAUAAGCCCAGGUGGGAUUAGCUAGUAGGUGAGGUAAUGGCUCACCUAGGCAACGAUCCCUAGCUGGUCUGAGAGGAUGAUCAGCCACACUGGGACUGAGACACGGCCCAGACUCCUACGGGAGGCAGCAGUGGGGAAUAUUGCACAAUGGGGGAAACCCUGAUGCAGCCAUGCCGCGUGUGUGAAGAAGGCCUUCGGGUUGUAAAGCACUUUCAGCGAGGAGGAAAGGGUGUAAGUUAAUACCUUACAUCUGUGACGUUACUCGCAGAAGAAGCACCGGCUAACUCCGUGCCAGCAGCCGCGGUAAUACGGAGGGUGCGAGCGUUAAUCGGAAUUACUGGGCGUAAAGCGUGCGCAGGCGGUUUGUUAAGCGAGAUGUGAAAGCCCCGGGCUCAACCUGGGAACCGCAUUUCGAACUGGCAAACUAGAGUCUUGUAGAGGGGGGUAGAAUUCCAGGUGUAGCGGUGAAAUGCGUAGAGAUCUGGAGGAAUACCGGUGGCGAAGGCGGCCCCCUGGACAAAGACUGACGCUCAGGCACGAAAGCGUGGGGAGCAAACAGGAUUAGAUA